AUCCAGCCAUGCCGCGUGUGUGAUGAAGGCCUUAGGGUUGUAAAGCACUUUCACCGGAGAAGAUAAUGACGGUAUCCGGAGAAGAAGCCCCGGCUAACUUCGUGCCAGCAGCCGCGGUAAUACGAAGGGGGCUAGCGUUGUUCGGAUUUACUGGGCGUAAAGCGCACGUAGGCGGAUCGAUCAGUCAGGGGUGAAAUCCCAGAGCUCAACUCUGGAACUGCCUUUGAUACUGUCGAUCUGGAGUAUGGAAGAGGUGAGUGGAAUUCCGAGUGUAGAGGUGAAAUUCGUAGAUAUUCGGAGGAACACCAGUGGCGAAGGCGGCUCACUGGUCCAUUACUGACGCUGAGGUGCGAAAGCGUGGGGAGCAAACAGGAUUAGAUACCCUG
rnacentral:rRNA from 1 species